GAUGAAGACGUAGCGAAAUGCGAUACUUGGUGUGAAUUGCAGAAUCCCGUGAACCAUCGAGUCUUUGAACGCAAGUUGCGCCCGAAGCCAUUAGGCCGAGGGCACGCCUGCCUGGGCGUCACACGUCGUUGCCCCCCCAUCUACUCCUUCGGGAUUGCGGGGGGCGGAUGAUGGCCUCUCGUGCGCCUCGUCGCGCGGUUGGCCUAAAUGCCAAGUCCUCGGCGACGCACGCCACGACAAUCGGUGGUUGCGAAACCUCGGUUGCCUGUCGUGUGCGGUCGUCGCGCAUCGAGGGCUCGAAAAAAUUGCCGGGCUUCGGCUCGACUUUCAACGCGACCCCAGGUCAGGCGGGGUUACCCGCUGAAUUUAAGCAUAUCAAUAAGCGGAGGA
rnacentral:misc_RNA from 1 species